rfam:Methylibium petroleiphilum PM1 plasmid RPME01, complete sequence.
CUACGAUGAAAUUACGUUGGUGCUCGCGUCGGCCAUUCGGUCGGCGCAGUGAAACGGGAAUCAGGAAGACGCGUUCCGCCGGAACAGAUCCAACCUGAGCUGCCCCCGCAACGGUAAGCGGACGAGGUGCUUGCGCCUCGACCCGUGUGAGUCGCCCACUGCAGGUUUUGGCCUGUGGGAAGGGCACACGGGAAAGUCCGUCAGCCCGGAGACCGGCCAACUGGGUGGGUGCGCA